AUCCUGGACUGAUAUCUGCAUUUGUGGAGAGGUGGCACGGUGAGACUAGCACCUUCCACCUUUCUGUAGGAGAGCUGACGAUCACAUUGGAUGAUGUCUCGAACCCAUCCUAAUCAUACACACUCUUUCUACGGAGGAGACCAGAUUUUUGCUGACGGAGUUGCUGGAGGUGUCUGCCGAGGAGGCCAGAGCCGAGACAGCACUCACACGUGGGGCAUAUGUAUGAUUAGGAUGGGUUCGAGACAUUUAUGAGACGAGAUGUCAGGCCCGGCGGUGGAUUGUCGCAGCUCGCGCUUAUCUAUUGCACCUUGUCGGUUGCACUUUUUUUGCUAAUAAGAGUGCAACAUACGUGCAUGUGGUUCACCUUGUAGGACCACCACCCGACAGCUUGCGGGGUACUUGAUGCUACUUCAGUGUUGGAUCUAUGAGCACUUCCCUAGUGUGCACCAGUGCGUGACUGAAGAUACAUACCAGGAGAUGUCCCCACGUGCUUCCCGGUGGUUGACGUCGAAGGCGCACAUGAAGGGAGAUUACAGGAGCACCCUACAGGGCACGCUGUGAUGGUUUGACCGUCACAGAUGUGUCCUGGUUGUCGUACACGGAGCAUCGGGGGGUUAGGGCAUUUCAGGAGAUUUCAUCUUUCCAAGGUCAACUGAGAUGGGGUCCUAUGGUCAUCACAGCUCGACCGGAGAGGGUGGUACGCCAAUUUGGUUACAUCCAGAGCAUCCAUCCGCCGCCUGUUAGUGCACGAUUGUCACACGAUUAGAUACAUGACAGGUGGAUGCAGUUUGCGGAUCACUUACUACCUGCGGGUCAGCUUUGUCUAGUGCUUGGGUAGGUAUCUGCGGAUUACAUGGAGUGGUUUUUCCGCAUAUCUCACCCAUUCAUGAUACCGACCUAGGCAGGUGACCAGCCGAGGGAUGCACCAGCUGCAGACCCUGAGGACUACAUACAGCCGCCCAACCCCCAGGUUCCAGUAUCAUUUGACCCCCGUCCACAUGUGGAUGAUUACGACAGAUAUGAGGCGAUUGCACAGAGGUUGGAGAGUGUGCUCAACCUUAG